rnacentral:tRNA from 1 species
GGACAUAUAGCUCAAUGGUAGAGCACUUGCCUAACAUGCAUGAGAACCUGCAUGAGAUUUCCAGCUUCACCA